GAUGAAGAACGUAGCGAAAUGCGAUAAGUAGUGUGAAUUGCAGAAUUCAGUGAAUCAUCGAAUCUCUGAACGCACAUUGCGCCCUUUGGUAUUCCAAAGGGCAUGCCUGUUCGAGCGUCAUUUGUACCCUCAAGCUUUGCUUGGUGUUGGGCGUCUUGUCUCUAGCUUUGCUGGAGACUCGCCUUAAAGUAAUUGGCAGCCGGCCUACUGGUUUCGGAGCGCAGCACAAGUCGCACUCUCUAUCAGCAAAGGUCUAGCAUCCAUUAAGCCUUUUUUUCAACUUUUGACCUCGGAUCAGGUAGGGAUACCCGCUGAACUUAAGCAUAUCAAUAAGCGGAGGA
rnacentral:misc_RNA from 1 species